rnacentral:rRNA from 1 species
UGCACCGACGAUAGCAAGUUGAAUGCUCCAGUUCCCGAUCACUGAUUUUAAGCAACGUUUCGCAUGGUUGGUAGCCAGAUGGGUGACCAUCUGGGCCAUAACGUGCUGCUGGCUAUU